GAACUAAAACAUCACUAAAUAGUAUUUAAACCCGAGUUCAUGGAUUCCUGUUUCUUUUCCUCUCUGUCCAGCUGUAUUGUAUUUGUCCAGUAUUGUUCAGGAAAGCUGCCCCCCCUUGCUGUCAGUAUUGGUACUGCUACUGAUCUAUUAUUGUAACAGUUGUGAUGCAGCAACCGUCCUGGUUUUAUUUUUAAUCAUCUCGUGAACCAACCUGACUUGUGUUUUGUGUAUUUCAGCUGUGGUUUGAAUGUUUCUGUGUUCUGCUUGAAUGUGACUCCUCUGUAUAGUUUUGAGGCAUUUUUCUGAAUGAAAAUAGUGCGACUGUAGACUGUAGAUAUUAGAAGGUUUGAUUAUUGAACUAAAAGAGAAAUACUGUGAAUGGGUGUUGGGAUAUCAAAGGAAAAGAUUACAAGCAAGGUUAUUCAGAUUCUGGCCUGUGAAGUGAUUUCAAAUAAAUUCAUGUUUGCAACAGAAA